AUUGAACGCUGGCGGCAGGCCUAACACAUGCAAGUCGAGCGGAUGAAGGGAGCUUGCUCCUGGAUUCAGCGGCGGACGGGUGAGUAAUACCUAGGAAUCUGCCUGGUAGUGGGGGAUAACGUCCGGAAACGGGCGCUAAUACCGCAUACGCCCUGAGGGAGAAAGUGGGGGAUCUUCGGACCUCACGCUAUCAGAUGAGCCUAGGUCGGAUUAGCUAGUUGGUGGGGUAAAGGCCUACCAAGGCGACGAUCCGUAACUGGUCUGAGAGGAUGAUCAGUCACACUGGAACUGAGACACGGUCCAGACUCCUACGGGAGGCAGCAGUGGGGAAUAUUGGACAAUGGGCGAAAGCCUGAUCCAGCCAUGCCGCGUGUGUGAAGAAGGUCUUCGGAUUGUAAAGCACUUUAAGUUGGGAGGAAGGGCAGUAAGUUAAUACCUUGCUGUUUUGACGUUACCAACAGAAUAAGCACCGGCUAACUUCGUG
rnacentral:rRNA from 1 species